CGCCGCGGUUAUACGAGGGGCUCAAGUUGAUAUCUCUCGGCGUAAAGGGUGGUUAAGAAAAUUCAAACUAAAGCCAAACAUCUUCAAAGCUGUCAUACGCACCCGAAGAAAUGAAGACCUAUCACGAAAGUAGCUUUAAAACUUCUGAACCCACGAAAGCUAGGACA
rnacentral:rRNA from 1 species